rnacentral:piRNA from 1 species
UGUUAAAAUGCCUUCUACUC